CUUGUUCGUUUUAUUCAUAACAAAGACACUCUGAGGUGAGCCGGUCUCAGAGGCCUGACAUGUCCGUCUGCGAUAAUAAUGUACAUCGACACGGCUGAAGCUCACAAUCAUAACAUGAUUGGAUUCUAACAAAUCUCAUAACGUGGUACAUAAGUAACCACCAUAAUUGAUUGACUUUCUUGACUUAACUUAAUAAUCAUGAUUGUUAUCCUGCCCAUGAAUUCCCUCCCGGGGUAAUACUAACUUGUCCUGAUUUCCUGAUUAUCAUGUACCUAACGUGUAAUUAACAUUCUAAUUAUUUAAUGUACUUACAGUAUCCACAGAAAAUAUCUAGAAGGGCCAGGGAUCUAAAAAGAGUGAAAGCAUCGCAUUUUAAAAAGACUGAUUUGCUAUUCUCGCUUAGCGAGGAUACCAAUUCAACACUCUGUUUUAUAUAAACAAUGCAUAAAUUCACCUACAAUCCCUCUUUCUAAUAGCUGUGCACACUAUAAUGGAUUAAAUGAUUAAAAUGGAGAAGAACUUUGGGAUUAAGCUCUUCUCAUACACUAAUUCAUCCUAAACCUUAAUGUUGUCAUACUUUUUAUCAUAAAUUGGGGAUACUAUUAUCCUAUCUAGACUAAUGUUAUCAUGCAUAAAUUUUGGGAAAACUAAUGGGGCUAAACUAGCUAGAGUUUAAGGCUCUAAGGGAACCCACCUGAGUUGACGCUUGAACAAUACAACCGAUAUUUCUGGAACUCGCCGAAAUGCAGAAUUUGCAGCAAAAACAGUUUAAACCAGUAAACAGAAUUUUCUGCACAAUUUCCAUAUCAGACCCUCAACUUCAAACUGGUCUCCAGAUCUCAAUUCUCAGUCAAAUUCCACGAAUUUGACACCAUAACGAAGGUAAUUCUGUCAGCUUUCCAGACAUGUAAAUACCAUUCAAAACCAAGUUACGGUUUGACAGAUACAGAUUAAUUACUGAACACAGGUCCUACGAAAAUUAUGCAGAAUUUCUUACCUAUCUAAUUCUAACUUUCUCCAAUUCUGUUUCCACAGACUUCCAUUCAUUCCUCAACCAACAAUGAUUCUUUAUAAUAACCUCAACUUGAUUUUCCAAACAUCC
rnacentral:lncRNA from 1 species